AUUGAACGCUGGCGGCAUGCCUUACACAUGCAAGUCGAACGGCAGCACGGGUGCUUGCACCUGGUGGCGAGUGGCGAACGGGUGAGUAAUACAUCGGAACGUACCUUGUCGUGGGGGAUAACGCAGCGAAAGCUGUGCUAAUACCGCAUACGCCCUGAGGGGGAAAGCGGGGGAUCGCAAGACCUCGCGCGAUUAGAGCGGCCGAUGCCUGAUUAGCUUGUUGGUGGGGUAAAAGCCCGCCAAGGCGACGAUCAGUAGCUGGUCUGAGAGGAGGAUCGGCGACACUGUGACUGAGACACGUCCCGCACUCCUACGGGAGGCAGCAGUGGGGAAUUUUGGGCAAUGGGGGCAACCCUGAUCCAGCAAUGGCGCGUGAGUGAAGAAGGCCUUCGGGCUGUAAAGCUCUUUUGUCAGGGAAGAAACACCGGCUCUAACACAGUCCGGGACUGACGGUACCUGGAGAAUAAGCACCGGCUAACUACGUGCCAGCCGCCGCGGUAA
rnacentral:rRNA from 1 species